CAGUAUUCCAUUAUUCCAAGUGUCACUGAGUAUUAGUUAUAUUCAAUUUUGUAUAGUUAUAAUUAACAUCUAUUUUAUCAUAAAAAAAAAUUACAAAAUUCAUGGAAUUAAACGAAGGGACAUUUUAUGCUACCCAGGCAACAAUAUCUCGAUUUCUCAGUCAGUCGGAAAUCGGAAUGCUCCUAGUAUAUUUUAAUUUAUUUAAUAUUUUAAUAUUCACUGAUCAAAGAGUAGUAAAAAGUAUCUUUAUUUAUGUUAAUAUUAUUUAUUAUUCUCUGAGAACUGAAAUUUAUUAUAAAUUAUAAUUUUCAUACCUUCGUCACACAAUAAAUUUAAUUAUUUGUUUACCUACUUUAUUAUUCUGUCGUCUGUGCCUUCACGAAGAUAACAUUUUUAUCAGCUUAUGAUAACUGAGCUCAACGAUAGUAGGUAAUAAUGAUAAUAUUAUAGAAAUAUUCUUAAGGUCAUAUUACUCAUAUUAAUUAUUGUUUAUGUAUUAAUGUAUGAUGUAAUUUUCUUAUUCACAAUCUCACUAAUCUCUCUUAGUCUCGUUUCAUUGGAAAAAGUUAUAUUGAUAUAUUAUUGUAUGUAUUAAAUUAUUUUAUAUGAUGUGCGAAUAUUAUUACAGCUCAUAUAACUUAUGACCAAAUAUGGUCUUUUUACAUCUAUAAUAUUAUCUUUUAAAUCUAGAAAUAUAUAUUUGAACAUUGGAUGAACAAUUACAAUGUUUGUGAUGCCAAACCAGUUGAUCAAUUAAUUCAUCAAUAUAAAUAUAUAUCAUCCAUUACAAUAAAUUGGAAACCAAUUGCUUCUUUACUGAAGUAAUGACAAAUAUUUAAUUCAAUCAACUGCUUAAGAAAAACUGUACAAUGUUAUAAUAAUUUAAGGCGUAACAAAUAAAAAGAAAGCGCAAGUACAAUUUGAAGAAUGACCAAAAGUGAAUCAUCAUCUAUGUUUAGAUUAUGUAUUUUUCCAGUAACUUAUUUUUAAAGUUGAUAAGACUAAAUUACUUAAAAUUAUUGUUUGUGAUAAGUAUUUUAAACUUUUAAGUAAUAUUAUGUUUAUUCAUUGUGCGUUAUUUGUUUAUUACAUGUUUAAUAGAAUUAAUAAUAUAUAAACUAUAUAUAUAUAUAUAUAUGAUGUACAUGAAAAAAUAUUAAUUAUAAAAUAAAAUUAUUUAUAAUAUUUAAAUAUAAUAAGA